rnacentral:lncRNA from 1 species
GAUAACAGAUUUGGCGUCUCUGUAUUAGACGGGGAGCAGAUCAAAGAUAGCAGAUAUCGCCUUCUUGAGUUGCAGGGAAGCAGAUUGAAGCCGUCAAGAGGCCAUUUAAAGAAGAUCAAGGAUCAAGAACUCAAGACUCGACGAGCCCGGGCAAAAUUGGUCCUUUUAUAGUCUUUGCUCUAUUUCUGUUACACAACAAUGAGCAAAGAGGGGCAGCUGUAGACACUCAAUUUUUC